rnacentral:rRNA from 1 species
UCAGUCGACUCCUACGGGGAGGCAGCAGUGGGGGAAUAUUGCACAAUGGGCGCAAGCCUGAUGCAGCCAUGCCGCGUGUGUGAAGAAGGACCUUCGGGUUGUAAAGCACUUUCAGUCGUGAGGAAGGUAGUGUAGUUAAUAGCUGCAUUAUUUGACGUUAGCGACAGAAGAAGCACCGGCUAACUCCGUGCCAGCAGCCGCGGUAAUACGGAGGGUGCGAGCGUUAAUCGGAAUUACUGGGCGUAAAGCGCAUGCAGGUGGUUUGUUAAGUCAGAUGUGAAAGCCCGGGGCUCAACCUCGGAAUUGCAUUUGAAACUGGCAGGCUAGAGUACUGUAGAGGGGGGUAGGAAUUUCAGGUGUAGCGGUGAAAUGCGUAGAGAUCUGAAGGAAUACCGGUGGCGAAGGCGGCCCCCUGGACAGAUACUGACACUCAGAUGCGAAAGCGUGGGGAGCAAACAGGAUUAGAUACCCUGGUAG